CACGAGUGUAUAUUUGAAGCAGUGAGAUUUGGAUAAUUGACAAGAGGGUGGUACAGGAAAGAAAAUACAAACAACUUGAGUUUCGCUGCUUUUAAUUUCCUUUUUGGAAUGGAGUUGGUGAGGUAGAAACGAGCCAGAAAACUAUACAGGCAAAAUAUAGCCACUGGCAAACAUUCAAAAAAGAAUAAGGGCUCAAAAUUGAGCCAGUAAGUUAAAGGAUGUUUUGGAAAACUGUUCCUUCUAAUGGAGCCUUUGAGUUCUUUUGGGGAUGUGUUUUCAGCUUCUCGCUGUAGCCAUGAGGAUUUUUCCUUUUUCCUUUAAACCAAAAGCUGAGCUUCUCACAAAAUCACCAGAUUCUAUCAUUAAAACUUUGCUCAGAAAACAUGAAUAUAUAAAAACUGAGAGACUGGGCAAUGUUAGAUUGAAAUCCAAAGGAAUUAAAGGCAAAUAAAUAACCCAACACAGAAUGAGAAGACUGAAGGGGAAAAGAAAGCAUCAGAUUCAGAGACUAGAAGCGACUUGCCCCAUCUGAUACUUUACCUCUGAUAUGUUGUUGGCCAUGAGGAACAGGUAUCUUAGAUAUAAGACCCAGCUCAAAAUUCUUCCUGAAUGUAACCCUUUUAAGCCCCACUUUUUUUUUUUUAAAUUUUUUUUUUAUUUUUUUUUGUCAGGUUUCUCCAUUUAGUGAGUCAUAGAGCAUUCAGGUUUCUUUUCUCAGCUGCAGCGUGACCCUCUGCAUGUGGGCUCUUCAGUUCUCACUGUCUUUGAGGCACGCACACCUUUGAGACUCAUCGCCUUUUGUGACAUCCUUUUCUUGUGAAUCUCAGGGCUUGUGCCAGAGUGCAUCACGUACUGAAAGAUGACUGACUUUGUACUGGGGACACCAGGGAUGCUGCCGAAAGCAGGCAACAGAGCCACUGUGGCACUAUGGAUCAAACACAUCCGGAUUUACUUUUAUGCCUCUGAGGUAAACAGUUGCCUGCUGCACUACAUAAAUACUGAAAGAAAAACUCUCCUGGUAAAAGACCUGACCAGCAUGAACUGAGGGUAACUACAGGCAGCUGAGAAGAGCCUAGCUCAG
rnacentral:lncRNA from 1 species